CAAUAGCGUAUAUUAAAGUUGUUGCAGUUAAAAAGCUCGUAGUUGGACCUUGGACCUGGACAGGCGGUCCGCCUCACGGCGAGUACUGUCUUGCUGGUCUUUCCUCUUGGUGAUCUGUUGUUUCGGCAGCAGGGAACCAGGACCUUUACUUUGAAAAAAUUAGAGUGUUCAAAGCAGGCUCGACGCCGGAAUAUAUUAGCAUGGAAUAAUAAAAUAGGACGUGCGGUUCUAUUUUGUUGGUUUUUGGAAUCGCCGUAAUGAUUAAUAGGGACAGUCGGGGGCAUUAGUACUCACAUGCUAGAGGUGAAAUUCUUGGAUUUUGUGAAGACUAACUUCUGCGAAANCANNNGCCAAGGAUGUUUUCAUNAA
rnacentral:rRNA from 1 species